GGAAAUUACUUACUUGGAUGUAGAGUUAAGGGUAUCGAGAGGUGAUAAGGGUAACCUGUUUAUUCUCAAAAUGGUGGAUCCUUUGUAUGAAAUACCUUCCUAAUGCAUUAUACGAAAACAACUCAAGUACAGGAUUUGCUUUUUGUGACUGCAGAAACAAUUAUACUAGUAAACUUUCAGCUACAUCUUUUUUUUUUUUUUUUUUUUUUUUCCAACUCCUAAUCUAGCCUUUUCUAGCUAGCAAACUAUAUGCACUGUGGAUCAUAAUAAGAAUUAUUUUUUUCACACUUUUUA